rnacentral:tRNA from 1 species
GGAGACGUGGCUGAGUGGCCGAAAGCGCCUCACUGCUAACGAGGUAGGGUUUAAAAGCCCUCGGAGGUUCGAAUCCUCUCGUCUCCGCCA